rnacentral:misc_RNA from 1 species
UUUCCGUAGGUGAACCUGCGGAAGGAUCAUUACAGAGUUCAUGCCCUCACGGGUAGAUCUCCACCCUUGAAUAUUUAUACCUUAGUUGCUUUGGCAGGCCGUGGAAACACCAUGGGCUCCGGCUUAUGCGUGCCUGCCAGAGGAAACAAACUCUGUUUUUAGUGAUGUCUGAGUACUAUAUAAUAGUUAAAACUUUCAACAACGGAUCUCUUGGUUCUG